rnacentral:rRNA from 1 species
GACGAACGCUGGCGGCGUGCCUAAUACAUGCAAGUCGAACGCAUUUUCUUUCACCGUAGCUUGCUACACCGAAAGAAAAUGAGUGGCGAACGGGUGAGUAACACGUGGGUAACCUGCCCAUCAGCGGGGGAUAACACUUGGAAACAGGUGCUAAUACCGCAUAAUUCCAUUUACCGCAUGGUAAAUGGAUGAAAGGCGCUUUUGCGUCACUGAUGGAUGGACCCGCGGUGCAUUAGCUAGUUGGUGGGGUAACGGCCUACCAAGGCUGCGAUGCAUAGCCGACCUGAGAGGGUGAGCGGCCACACUGGGGCUGAGACACGGCCCAGACUCCUACGGGAGGCAGCAGUAGGGAAUCUUCAGCAAUGGACGCAAGUCUGACCGAGCAACGCCGCGUGAGUGAAGAAGGUUUUCGGAUCGUAAAACUCUGUUGUUAGAGAGGAACAAGGAUGAGAGUGGAAAGUUCAUCCCUUGACGGUAUCUAGCCAGAAAGCCACGGCUAACUACGUG